rnacentral:rRNA from 1 species
GACGAACGCUGGCGGCGUGCUUAACACAUGCAAGUCGAACGGAAAGGCCCUGCUUUUGUGGGGUGCUCGAGUGGCGAACGGGUGAGUAACACGUGAGUAACCUGCCCUUGACUUUGGGAUAACUUCAGGAAACUGGGGCUAAUAACGGAUAGGAGCUCCUGCUGCAUGGUGGGGGUUGGAAAGUUUCGGCGGUUGGGGAUGGACUCGCGGCUUAUCAGCUUGUUGGUGGGGUAGUGGCUUACCAAGGCUUUGACGGGUAGCCGGCCUGAGAGGGUGACCGGGCACAUUGGUACUGAGAUACGGCCCAGACUCCUACGGGAGGCAGCAGUGGGGAAUAUUGCACAAUGGGCGGAAGCCUGAUGCAGCAACGCCGCGUGCGGGAUGACGGGCUUCGGGGUGUAAACCGCUUUCGCCUGUGACGAAGCGUGAGUGACGGUAAUUGGUAAAGAAGCACCGGCUAACUACGUG